rnacentral:rRNA from 1 species
UACGGAGGGGGUUAGCGUUGUUCGGAAUGACUGGGCGUAAAGCGCGCGUAGGCGGAUCAGGAAGUUGGGGGUGAAAUCCCGGGGCUCAACCUCGGAACUGCCUUCAAAACUAUUGGUCUUGAGUUCGAGAGAGGUGAGUGGAAUUCCGAGUGUAGAGGUGAAAUUCGUAGAUAUUCGGAGGAACACCGGUGGCGAAGGCGGUUCUCUGGGCAUUACCUGACGCUGAGGAGCGAAAGUGUGGGGAGCGAACAGG